UCGGUUGCUCCACUUGAAAAUUCUUUGUACGAGGCCGUGGCGGCAGGGUCGGUGUAUUUUCUGGACUACAAACAUUUGCGGACUCGGGAAACCGUGCAGCAACAUAAAUCAUCAGGUACAGCGCUUCCGUAUCGGAGAAGGUUUCCGUUUAUUGAUGGUUUUGUUUAGUGACUGUUCCUGUCCCAGAAGCACCAGAAGCAGGUCCUGAUAAGCGUCGACUAGGCGAAACAGAAUGCGGUACCGAGGUUCCUGCCACCGAAAUCGAUGUGCACCACCUUCCAAUCGGUGGCGGUUGGGCAGCAGUGUCGAGUCAAUUUACUUCAUUGAAGGACCGCGUUGCCUUAAAGCGAUUGAAAAGGGACAUCACAUGACACAAUUUCUGGAUACUGCAAUGCACUUGCUGCAGCGCUCAGUGGAGUCAGAUACCCCCCGGUAAAACACCGCUGAUUACGAAUUGAAAGCCUGAAUUUCUUGACGAAAACAAGCUUCCAAGGGAUGAAAUAGGGAAGCGGUCCAAUUAAUAAUCAAAGACUGUAGUGAUCAAUAAGGUCCCAAGGAACUGCCUUCAGAUUACCGUAUCCAAUAACGAGGGCAAAAUUGAAUUUAAUUUUCAAAGGGAUCGAUAAUCUAAAAUUAUCCGAAUGUGACGAAGCGCUGACGUAUCAGUUAACCUAAAACCACUGGAAGGACACUCAUUCAACUUUUGACGAAGGCAGCAUAUUUUCGUAACGAUACUUGGCUUAGAUUGCUGAGGUGAACGAUGUGGUUCAUAUACUCACAGCAACUUCGGGUUCAGUCCGAAGACUUUCGCUUUAACCCUUCUCACAGUCGGGAGCGAGCCUGAAGGUGGAUUCACCGGAGGAACAUCUUCGUCGACACUGCAGUGUAUCAUGAAAAACUGGCAAAUUAUUUUAAUGUUUCCAUAGAAAAUUGUUAAAUGUUAAAAAAAGGGAUAACCAUAUGAUAAAUUUUGGAUUAGUGGCUAUAACUUUUAGCAUAGCUUAACUUAGCUUGAUUAACUACUCACAUCCAGUGGUAGUGGAUAUAACCUUUGAUUUAAAAGUGUUUUAUAACGGUUACGAUCUAUUUGUUAAACUAUAAUUGCGCUUCAAAUUAAAACAAGAACGAACUAUAUAACUGCGAAAAAGUUAGGAAAAGUGUAUGU